AAAAAUUCCAAUUUAGUUCCCUAGAGCUAUAAUAAUAAAAACUGCUGACAUUCUGAUUUUAUUUUUCAGAGUAAGAACAACCUGUCUUAUAAAGGCUUUUCUGUAUUUGUGGUCUGGCAAGAUGAAGAUAGGUCUCAGAAUUCAGCAUCUUUCUUAGCAAGGUAGUAUGUUUCUUCACCUGAAAGGGUAUGAAGAGAGAAACCAACCAUUCCACUGACGCAUACAUUUUGGAAAGAAGAGGAUUUUCUUCCACGUGGAGAAUACAUGAAUGAAUGUCAUACCAUGCUUCUCAAUGUCUCUCUUGGAUUAUGUGCUCUUUGGGGCAAGGAUGGUUCUUGUGUGAGGAUACUAUACUAACCAGAUCUUGUUGGUGCAAAAAACAACAAACUAAGGACAACAAAAAAGUUUUCUAUCAAGAUAUGUUCCCUUUUGUGAUACCCUAACCAGUUCUAAGAGUUGUUUCUGAAAUCAAACGUG
rnacentral:lncRNA from 1 species